UUCCUCAACUUUUCUUAAAGAGCUCCAUAGUGGCUCGGAUAAACAGAACUAUAGCACUAAGGAAUUGAUUUAGUGCGAGAAUUAGAUAUUAUUUUUCGCACAACCACUGAGAAUUUACUAACUACAAAGUAGCGUGCAAGCUUCUAUAGUUUCCCCCCCAAUAAAUUUGGUAAAUCUGCUAAACCCUUUUUUUUUUCAGCAAAGAUUGUGGAUUGGUUAACCGGAAGUCAAGCAGGGCAGGAUUAGAACUUUCUGCUGUACUCUGGCAUGGUGUGGUGUGGUGGGUUUGGAUAAAGAAAACGGACUGGUUGCGAAAGCUUGUACAUUUUGCUGGAAAUAAGAAAAGCAUCAUCAGCGGAUGAUGAUGAUGGUGGUGAUGAUGCAUUUAGAGAAGCAAGAAGACAUUCCUGGGAUCCUUAACCUACACGCUCCGACACCGCAUCCCCAUGUGAACGAAUUCUUUUAUGCCCCCCCGGCCAAAGGCUGCGUGCUCGUUAGCGCAGUCAAAGGGCACGGCAUGUAAAGUGCGGCGCGGCUCUGAAGUGGGGUCGUUGCUUACGCAUGGAGGGUGAGCUCGAGCUGCUCAUGAUUGCGACCAGAGACACACUUCCGAGGGGCCAGGUCAUUACAAUAUAGUUUUUUCUUGAUUAACAAAAACUGGAAUGGCUUAAUCAUUAAGCGAAAUGACCCGACUUUGCAUGCUACAUGUGAAAAUGUAUUGGGACUUGAGCUACAAAUGGAGAUGAACAUGGCAGCUCAGGUGCUUGUUGUAAUGCUUGACAGGAGUGCAUUGAUUGUGACUUUCUGUGGAAUGUAUCUUAUUAUGUGGUUGAAUUUCUCCUAGUCCUCUAGCUUCGAGGAUUGGUUAA